rnacentral:sRNA from 1 species
GCUGCGCGCUCUGCGCUGCCGCUGCGGCUGCUGCGGCCGCCGCGGCUGCGGCCGUGGCAAAGAAACAGGCUGCGGGCGGCAGGAAGGGCUGCUGGGGCUGCGGCUGGGGCUGCUGGCCGGCGCCGCCGCUCUCCAUCUUGGCAGAGCUUUCCAUGCGCAGCGGCGGCCAAGGAGUCGCGGAAUCAGAGCGAUCCGGGACGCGAGUGGGAGGUUAAAACCUUCAGCCCCACGUGCUGUUUGCAAACCUGCCUGUACCUGAGGCCCUAAAAAGCCAGAGACCUCACUCCCGGGGAGCCAGCAUGUCCACUGCGGUCCUGGAAAACCCAGGCUUGGGCAGGAAACUCUCUGACUUUGGACAGAUGAGGCAUGAAGAGAAUUCAGACAG